rnacentral:lncRNA from 1 species
GGGCUUGAGUGAAGCCUGUGACGCAUACUUGGAUGUCAAGAGAGCACUGGGUCAACGCUAAGGCCAAGCUGCGUGAAACCAAUGUAACCAAUUAAACAAUACUACAGUUCUUCAUUCAUAAGAGAUUACGACUAAAGCAGCUACUGUCCAUUUUGCAAAAAAAGGGCUUGGACGAAUGCAAAACAGAUUUCAUACUACUAAAUUUUAUCCUACAAGUACACAUAUACUAAGGCUGCCAUAACUCAGUGUACUAUUAACCUCAUUCCCAGAAUAAUUCGAGACCCAUAGCCAAACAACUGCACAAUUCUCAAACAAAGAAAACAUCGACUAACAUGAGCCUUAGCUUAACAUUUUCUGGUUUCAAAUCUAUGCUGGUCAUUUUGGCAACUCAAAUGACAAUCAAUCCCAAAACAAAAACGAAUUUCAGCUUGACUAAAAUAAAUCUAAAUAAUAUGUGAGUCAAUUAAACCUUCUAAUACUAUAAUUCCUACAAAUCCAUAUACAUUAAAACCAUGCUUCAAUAACCUCAUAUCCCCAAACUACCGGAUUGUAACAGGUGUUAAAGUUUACAUAUCAAGUUUAAUCUAGUAACAUUGUAUCUAAUAGCACAAAAGGAGCAGAUCAUACAUGAGGAAGAACUAACUUAUAAUAUACAUUUGCAUGAAUUCAAAUUAAAAAAAGAUGAAGCUGAUCAAACGUAUAAGCCCAAAGCUUCCAACUAAAACAACAAUAGCAAAUAUUUCAUUUCAGCAUGCCAAAUAAGGUUCAGUAGAUACCUGGUUACAACAAAUAAACAAGGAACAUUCUGAGGUUAAGAAGGAGCAGCAACAGUAAACAUCAUUGUAACAGUGCAAAAAAUCAGCAGCUCAACAAAACUUUAAACCCCAAACUCAAACAUUUCUCUCAACCAGCAAUAAAAUCAAAACCACAGCUUCUUCAAUCCAGUAGAGAAAACCAAUGGAUAACAGACUUUAGAGUCUCAGAACACUUUCAUAAACAUUAUGAAAUUCCAAAGAAAAAUUAAACCAAUUUGAAACAAAGAAAUGCAAGAAUUUCAGUGUCUUCUUCAAAGUUUUC